rnacentral:rRNA from 1 species
GUGUCAGCAGCCGCGGUAAGACGAACCGUACAAACGUUAUUCGGAAUCACUGGGCUUAAAGGGUGCGUAGGCGGCGCUGUAAGUUGGGUGUGAAAUCCCUCGGCUCAACCGAGGAACUGCGCCCAAAACUACAGUGCUUGAGGGAGAUAGAGGUGAGCGGAACUUAGGGUGGAGCGGUGAAAUGCGUUGAUAUCCUAAGGAACGCCAGGGGCGAAAGCGGCUCACUGGGUCUCUUCUGACGCUGAGGCACGAAAGCUAGGGUAGCGAACGGGAUUAGAUACCCCGGUAGUCC